rnacentral:snRNA from 1 species
CUGGCAAAUCAUGUAGAC